CCUCGGACACGGCUUGAAUAUGGGUCAACAAUCAAGACAAUUUUGGACACGGUAAACAAAAGCCAAGACACUACAAGGAUCAUUUUGGAAAUUUUAAAACAAAAACUGAGGUCACAACAUAGUUAUUGAAACAGUUGUGAGCAUAUUUGAAAUAUUUUUAAAAGUGGGCUUUUCUUCUCUCCCAGCCAGCUGCAUCUUUCAUGAAAAAACCCAUCUUUUCUUCUCUCCCCCUCUCCUCAUAUUCUUUCUUCUCAUCUUAUUUUAAAUUAUUUGAAGUCGAAAUAUCAUUAAAUGCUUACGAACUGCUCUAGGUGCGGCGAGGGUCUGAUUUAUUUAUUUAUUUAUUUAUUUAUCAGUUUUAUCAGAUUUCUGGCUUCAAUUUUUUGUUUAAUAUUUUUUUUCUUUGUUCCUUUUUAGCAGAGCUGAUAUUUUUGGUUGACUAAAGAUAUUGAUAACAAUUUGGUCGUGCGAGAAGCAUCUUUUUGAGUAGGUAAUUCAUUCACUUUGUUUCGUUUUUUUUUUCUUUUUUAUGCUAAGCCAAUUCUUAUUUUAUGAGGUGGGAAAUUUUUUUAUGUGUUAAUAAAUAUGUAUAUAGUGCUUUAUUGUGUUUAGGGAACGAUGAGUAAUGCUAAUUCAAAGGAGGCCUCCUGUCAUGCUCAAUCAUAUUUUGUGGUGCAUUAAUUAUUAUGUAUAAAU
rnacentral:lncRNA from 1 species